rnacentral:rRNA from 1 species
AUGAACGCUGGCGGCGUGCUUAACCCCUGCAAGUCGGACGAUGAAGCCCAGCUUGCUGGGUGGAUUAGUGGCGAACGGGUGAGUAACACGUGAGUAACCUGCCCUUAACUCUGGGAUAAGCCUGGGAAACUGGGUCUAAUACCGGAUAGGAGCGCCUACCGCAUGGUGGGUGUUGGAAAGAUUUAUCGGUUUUGGAUGGACGCGCGGCCUAUCAGCUUGUUGGUGGGGUAAUGGCUCACCAAGGCGACGACGGGUAGCCGGCCUGAGAGGGUGACCGGCCACACUGGGACUGAGACACGGCCCAGACUCCUACGGGAGGCAGAAGUGGGGAAUAGUGCACAAUGGGCGAAAGCCUGAUGCAGCGACGCCGCGUGAGGGAUGACGGCCUUCGGGUUGUAAACCUCUUUCAGUAGGGAAGAAGCGAAAGUGACGGUACCUGCAGAAGAAGCACCGGCUAACUACGUG